rnacentral:rRNA from 1 species
CCUACGGGAGGCAGCAGUUAGGAAUAUUGGUCAAUGGGCGCGAGCCUGAACCAGCCAAGUAGCGUGAAGGAUGACUGCCCUACGGGUUGUAAACUUCUUUUAUAAAGGAAUAAAGUGAGGCACGUGUGCCUUUUUGUAUGUACUAUAUGAAUAAGGAUCGGCUAACUCCGUGCCAGCAGCAGGGGUAAUACGGAGGAUCCGAGCGUUAACCGGCUUUAUUGGUGUUAAGUGGAGACGAGAUGGGUUGUUAAGUCAGUUGUGAAAGUUUGCGGCUCAACCGUAAUAUUGCAAUUGAUACUGGCAGUCAUGUGGACAGUUGAGGUAUGCGGAAUUCGUGGUGUAGCGGUGAAAUGCUUCGAUAUCACGAAGAACUCCGAUUGCGAAGGCAGCUUACUAAACUGCCACUGACAUUGAUGCUCGAAAGUGUGGGUAUCAAACAGGAUUAGAUACCCGGGUAGUC